GAUGACUGUGCUCACUUUGUACUAAAAUUGGAACGAUACAGAGAAGAUUAGCAUGCCCCAGAGCAAGGAUGACAGGCAAAUUCUUGAAGCAUUCCAUAUUAAA